rnacentral:rRNA from 1 species
AGGAGAGUUUGAUCCUGGCUCAGGAUGAACGCUAGCGACAGGCCUAACACAUGCAAGUCGAGGGGCAGCGCGGGAGAAGCUUGCUUUUCCUGGCGGCGACCGGCGCACGGGUGCGUAACAGGUGUGCAAUCUGUCCUAUACCGGGGCAUAGCCCAGCGAAAGUUGGAUUAAUUCUCCAUGUGAAGCGAUACCGCAUGAUAUUGCUUUGAAACGUAAGGGUAUAGGGUGAGCACGCUUCUGAUUAGAUAGUUGGUGGGGUAACGGCUCACCAAGUCGACGAUCAGUAGGGGUUCUGAGAGGAAGGUCCCCCACAUUGGAACUGAGACACGGUCCAAACUCCUACGGGAGGCAGCAGUGAGGAAUAUUGGUCAAUGGGCGAGAGCCUGAACCAGCCAAGUCGCGUGAAGGAUGAAGGUUCUAUGGAUUGUAAACUUCUUUUGUCCGAGGGUAAAAAAGGCCACGUGUGGCUUCUUGCAAGUAUCGGACGAAUAAGCAUCGGCUAACUCCGUGCCAGCAGCCGCGGUAAUACGGAGGAUGCGAGCGUUAUCCGGAUUUAUUGGGUUUAAAGGGUGCGUAGGUGGUUUGUUAAGUUUGUGGUGAAAGCGUGCGGCUCAACCGUACCAAGCCAUGAAAACUGGCGAACUUGAGUGCAAACGAGGUAGGCGGAAUGUGAUGUGUAGCGGUGAAAUGCUUAGAUAUGUCACAGAACCCCGAUUGCGAAGGCAGCUUACCAGCAUGCAACUGACACUGAGGCACGAAAGCGUGGGUAUCAAACAGGAUUAGAUACCCUGGUAGUCCCCU